CGCAUCUGUGCAUGCAGCAUAUCAAUAAGCGGAGGAAAAGAAACUAACAGGGAUUCCCUUAGUAACGGCGAGUGAAGCGGGAAGAGCUCAAAUUUAAAAUCUUCAAGGUUUUACCUUGACGAAUUGUAGUUUAAGGAAGUGUUUUCUGCUGAAGUUUUGGUAAAAGUUCUUUGGAAUAGGACAUCAUAGAGGGUGAGAAUCCCGUAUUUGACCAUUAUUUUCAGCUUUGUGAUACACUUUCAAAGAGUCGGAUUGUUUGGGAAUGUAGUCCAAAAUGGGUGGUAAAUUUCAUCUAAAGCUAAAUAUUGGCGAGAGACCGAUAGCGAACAAGUACCGUGAGGGAAAGAUGAAAAGAACUUUGAAAAGAGAGUUAAACAGUACGUGAAAUUGUCAAAAGGGAAGCGUUUGACACCAGUGUUGUUUUCUCGAAAAUCAAUUAAAAAUGGCUCGAUUUUGUAUUGCUGAGACCUUAAAAGCUCACUGUACAUUUUUCGUGUCUUUUUUAAUGCACUUUUCGUUUAACAAGUCAACAUCAGUUUCUUUUGUUGUAAAAGGGUCAUUGGAAGGUGGCUUUCUUUUCGGAGAAAGUGUUUAUAGCCUUUGGCCUCUGCAAUCGGAGAGACUGAGGUCUGCAGCGUAGAUCCUUCGGGGUUAGAUACAUUUGUGCUAAGUUAUAGCUUUUUAUAGACAACUUGUUGACUAUAAUUAGUCUUGUAGCUUACUCGCUUAUGCUAUUUUACCUACGCUUAGGAUGUUGAAGAUAUGCGCGACACG
rnacentral:rRNA from 1 species